rnacentral:rRNA from 1 species
GAAUCGUAGUCCGGAUUGCAGUCUGCAACUCGACUGCAUGAAGUCGGAAUCGCUAGUAAUCGCGGAUCAGCAUGCCGCGGUGAAUACGUUCCCGGGUCUUGUACACACCGCCCGUCAAACAAUGGGAGUGGUGUUUACCAGAAGUCGUUAGCCUAACCGCAAGGAGGGCGGCGACCACGGUGAGCACCGUGACUAAUGUUAAGUCGUAACAAGGUACC